GAUCACCAACGCAAGGCGACACGCCGAUCAGUCAGCGAGAACCUGAACAGCUACUCCGUGAGGGCGGCGGCGAAGCGUUGACAGGGGUCCGUGCAGGCUGGGCUAUUGAGCCGCGAAAUCAAGGAGUUCGGGGUGCCGACGUUGUUAAGCAAUGCGGAAGGCAACAUCGCUGGCGGCGUUAUCGCGAGUCGUCAGCGGACCCCGCGCGGUCGAAGAACC
rnacentral:ncRNA from 1 species